rnacentral:rRNA from 1 species
AAUGGGCGCAGCCUGAUGCAGCGACGCCGCGUGAGGGAUGGAGGCCUUCNGGUUGUAAACCUCUUUUAUCGGGGAGCAAGCGUGAGUGAGUUUACCCAUUGAAUAAGCACCGGCUAACUACGUGCCAGCAGCCGCGGUAAUACGUAGGGUGCAAGCGUUAUCCGGAAUUAUUGGGCGUAAAGGGCUCGUAGGCGGUUCGUCGCGUCCGGUGUGAAAGUCCAUCGCUUAACGGUGGAUCCGCGCCGGGUACGGGCGGGCUUGAGUGCGGUAGGGGAGACUGGAAUUCCCGGUGUAACGGUGGAAUGUGUAGAUAUCGGGAAGAACACCAAUGGCGAAGGCAGGUCUCUGGGCCGUUACUGACGCUGAGGAGCGAAAGCGUGGGGAGCGAACAGGAUUAGAUACCCUGGUAGUCCAAGGGCGAAUUC